rnacentral:rRNA from 1 species
AUACGGAGGACGCGAGCGUUAUCCGGAUUCAUUGGGUUUAAAGGGUGCGUAGGCGGUUUGCUAAGCGGGAGGUGAAAUGCCGGCGCUCAACGUCGGAAGUGCCUCCCGAACUGGUGGACUGGAAUGACUCUGCCGUGGGAGGAAUGUGUAGUGUAGCGGUGAAAUGCUUAGAGAUUACACAGAACACCGAUUGCGAAGGCAUCUCACGAAGGGUUGAUUGAUGCUGAGGCACGAAAGCGUGGGGAUCAAACAGGAUUAGAUACCCUGGUAGUCCACGCAGUAAACGAUGAUGGCUAACCGCUGGUUUUUUCGGAUCAGUGGCCAAGCGAAAGCGAUAAGCCAUCCACCUGGGGAGUACGACCGCAAGGUUGAAACUCAAAUGAAUUGACGGGG